CCUAGAUUCAUUCACUCCCAUCCCCCCUCCCACCGCUGGCAGCCUCCCCCGCCCGACGCCACAUGUCCCCUUCUCCCCACCGGCGCCAUCUCUCCCCUCUAGUGGCGCAGCUUCCCUUCUUCUCCCCUCUCCCCACUGGCGCGCCGCUCCCUCUCCCCCUUUCCCUCCCAUCUCGCCUGCACGGCGCGACGAUGGCGGGGUGCGGAGGAGACGACGGUGAUAGUCGUCCCUCCUCCUCCUCCUCCUCCCUCUCCCCGUCGGCCUCGAUGGCCGUCCCUUCCUCUUAGGGACGGCACCCUCUCCACCCUCAAGAUCCGACGGCGUCGGUGGUUUCCCUCGGGCAGAUCCAGUGCCGACGGCUUCCUGCGGCGGAUCCAACGGCAACGUAGAAAUCGCCGAUCCGGCUUCACCGAUGGCGCCUCGUGGACGGAUCUGGUGGCGACGACGAUGUUGGUGGCUUUCCCGAGCGGUGGACCUGAGCGGAGUGAGAGAACGGCGCACGGCUCCCAGAGCGAGGGCGCAUCUCGAUCCUUCCACCCAGCUAGAAGGAGGGGAAACGGCGGCGGCGGCCCAGUGGCGGCUCGGCGGAUCCCUGGAGCAGCAGCCGGUCGACGGCUCCCGGUAGCAAGGCGGCGUGGAGGUCCGGCAAGGAGCAGCGCUCGCCCUCCCUCUCCUGUGUGAUUUGUUUUGUACUAUAAUUUGUUGAUUUCCUAUGAUCUAUUUUUUUGGUAAUUUAGACCCAUGCCAUUAUAAUUUUGCAAAGUUUAAGAUAUGUCAUCGAUAUCUCAAUGACAUGUAGGACCCACGUCAUUGAAGGACCCACAUGAGUCCUAAUGGCAUAUCUUAAAUUUUACAAAAUUAUAAUAGCAUGGUUCCAAUUUUCGGUAUUUUAGAUUUCAGAUGAUUUUGUGAUGAUUCCGAUUUGGAUUAGUAUUUUGUUUUUGGUUUGGAUUAUGGUGGUUUGGGAUUUGGAGAGGGGGCACGCGUGAUGUGGCUGACAAAUGAAGAGGAUUUUUUUUAUCGUCCUUUUUUACGGGUUUUUUUUGUCCGCGCCAUUGAUUGAAUCGAACUUUCUUUUUUUUCGCUCGCGAUUGGGAUUCGGGGGCGGGGGUUGCUGGUGCGCACCAACGAUUGGAAAAAUAUGAAUCUUUUAAUUAGUUAAGUUAUAAGAUAGAUUAGAUUGGAAUUGGUGUGAGUAUGUGCUUGUAGAUGGACCUAGAAUACUGAAAUCACAGUUUGGGCUUGUAUUGUAAUUCUAUAUGGACCGAACCAAAACAGAAUCGGGUGGAUGAAUCGGAUCGGAUGAGUUUAGCGUGAUUAAUGACGGACGAAAAUCUGUGAUUACUGCGAUGUGAUGACCGGAAAAAUCCAAAUAUUUAUAUUAGUUAUAGAUAAGAAAGGGACAGGGUAGGUCGGUAUAGAACCGCGUUUUUUCGCAGAUCGAACAUCUCCACGAGACCACGACGAAGAUUAUUAAUUAAUUAGAUUAAAGAAGCCUUGCCGGCCGCUCUGUCAUAGUAUGUGCCGGCUGGCUUCGCCUCACACUCACAAUCUCUUCGUUCUUAUUGAGUAUUCAACGGAAUUACGAACCGCAAAUCGCUUUAAAGCUAAAAAAUGUGGCUAAACAUGUCGGCAUAGUCAUAUUAUAUAUGUGCCCCGGCGCCGGCGCCUCAUCUGCCGCUAGCCGACGUGUUGUUCAGAUUGGCGUUGCCCUCCGUUACAGCUGGAUAUGAAAUACAAAUAGAAAUGAUAGAGCACAAUAUACCUCUGCAUAGUUAGUAUGCGCUCACUCCCGUGCAAGAGCUAAGCCUUUGCUCACUGCGCCUGAAAUCCGAGCCACACGCAAGGUUAGUUUGCACGAUCCCCUCCCUCGUCCACCUCGGAUAAAAACCCCCCUCUUGUCGCGAGCAUGCUUAUCAUGAAACCAUGGGCGAAUAGUGCCCAACUAUGGUAAACUUGUAUAUAUAGGGGAUUGGCCGAUGUAUAAGGAUAUGUACGUACGAAGGUAAAAAAAUAAGGACAAAUGAGAUAUGAGUUUUCAUAUACGUACAGUUUGUAUAAUACAAAAUUUAUAUAUAUGUGUGUGUGUACACACACACACAGACACACAAACACACACACAUAUACGUAGAGACAAGAGGGGGCGGGACUGAUCGUGUCCGCGCGGAUCAGCGGCCCCGACUUUGUGCAUGCAAGCGCAAGCGCGAGCGCGGCGCCUUUCGAGCUCCACUCUCGGCGUCUCGCCGCCUAGUCGCCGAAACGCCGAUGCUACCUGCGCGCGUGGCGGCGUGGGCGUGGCCGCAUGGAUAAGCCGGGAAUGCGUCCUCGCCUGUGCUCCCGACUGCCGCUCGAUGCGGGAAUCCUUCCGUUUCGGCAGGUGGUUGUUGAGUUUGCGGCUCCGCGCUGGGCCGCGUGGGCACUCUUGCCGACUGCAUGCCUGCAUGGAGCCCUUCAGUUUCUCCCGAGGGCCAUAUACGGAAGGAAUAAGUUUAUUUUGUGACCCUCAAAAGUGAUCGAAAUCUAAUCCGUGACCUUAAACCAUAAAACCGGAUAUCUUGACCCCAAAACUCCUAAAACCGUGCAAUUUGACUCCCUAGGCGGUUUUGGAGGACGGUUUCGCUGACGUGGCGCCACGUGGCACCUACGUGGCGAUAUUAACCAAGUCUUCGUUACACGUGGCGUUGACGUGGCUCUUACAUGGCAAUAAAAUUAAAAAGUAUACGUGGGACCCAUUAGUCAUUCACAAAAAAGAAAUGUGGGCCAACUGACAUGUGGGCCUUCUUCCUCCCUCUCUCCCUUCUCUCUUUCUCUCCCCUUUAGACGGCGGGCGGGAUGGCAGAGAGAGCGAGCGGCAGUGGGCGGUGACGGCGAGGCCGGAGCUGCGGAGGUGGGCGGGGAGGGCACCAACGCCGGGGAGCGCCGGCGUCGGCAUUCGGCGAUCUGGAGCCCGCCACAACGACGGGGAGCGGCAGCGUCGGCAUCCGGCGGUGGGGACGACGUCCGGCGUCGGCAUACGUCUCCGCCGCUUCCUUUUUCUUUGCCGCCGCCGCCGCUCCGGUGGAGCCGCUCCUAGCCAGCCAUCCUCCCUUGCCAUGCUCCGUUGGAGCCGAUGCGGUUGCCGCGAUGCCGCAAGCCCACAACCCCUUUUCCCGCUGUGGCACGGAGAGGGAGGCGGUAGGGCAGAGCAAGGAGAGGCGGCAUCAGCGACCGGUGGAGCUCGCUGUGGCUUCCAUCUCGGUGAUCUACGGAUCUGCUGCCGCGAGGAAGUGGUGAGGUCGAAGCUCGAGCGGGCAAGAAAUGAGGUUGGAGAUCGAGCUCCCAUCCGGCGACGGGAGGCAGCGAGAUAGGGAGAGAGACCACCUCCGCCACGGCAAGAGAUGGCAUGCAUCUCGCCUCCCAGAGCACAAGCUGCGCAAGAGAGGGAGCUCGUCGGAUUGGGCAUGAGCAGGUGAGCUCGACGGUCGCCGCGGCCAAUAUCUCACGUCAGCGCCCACCACAACGACGUCCACGAUGGCCGCGCACACCCAGCUCACGUGCUCCGAGUGGCUCGAAUCUGAGUGCGCCGGCGGGUCCCCCUCUUCCUGCUCCUCCUCCACCUCGUCGUCGUUGGGAAAGCGCACCGCCGGCCACCUCACGUGCCAGUGGUGGAGGUUGGCACCGGCAGCGGCGCCUCGGCAUCUCUCUCGUCGGCGCCGAGAAGAGCUGAAAGAGAGAGAGAGAGAGAGGAGGAGGAGGAGACGGGCGAGCGUCGCCAUUGCCAGGGUGUCCUGAAGGCGAAGGGGCGAGCCGACCUCGCCGUCGCCGCCACUCCCCUCGUCCUCCCGUCGCCAUUGCCAACGAGAAGAGAGAGAAUAUAGGAGGGUGUCACUAGCAGGUGGGCCCCACUUUAUUUUUUUAAUUUAUUUGAUGACUGGGAUGCCAUGUAGGCGCCACGUCAGCGAAACCGCCCUCCAAAACCGUCGAGGGAGUCAAAUUGCACCGGUUUUAAGAGUUGGGGGGUCAAGAUAUCCGGUUUUGUGGUUUAGGGUUGCGAAUUAAAUUUCGAUGAACUUAUUCCUAUACGGAACGUGAUGGGCUGGACUGCGGUUGGAGUAGGCCGGAUGGCAGAGAUGUGGGCUGUUCAGCCUCUUUAGUCUAGAGCCCUAUUGCCUACAUGGGCCGUAAAUAGUUAACCAACCGAGUUGGAGUUUAAACUGGGUUGUCAAAUAUAAUGUUCAAACUAGAACUUCUAUCAGAACGAAAUGCCAGUCAGAAUAAAAUCAUGAAGACCUUUUUAAUCGUUCACCGUAGGGGCGCAGUGAUUUCUGUAUUCGAAUUUAUUGAUUACAAAGAACAGGGACUCUUGUCACGAAUCAGGAAUUAGGCAAUUGGCAUGUACAAAGACUGAUUUCUCGUCCCAAUUCUCUGUUUCUCCUCUUACACCGCAAGCAACGAAUCAACCAAACCAUUAAUAAUCGGAGAUAUUAAAGACCACCGCAGAAUGCUCGCACCAUAGCGAUUCUGCGGUUUUUUGGCUGGCGUGUACGCUUCUGGUGGUAUCCACAUCGGCCCGUGUUGGAACUGGUCAUCUUGCAAAAAAGUCCUCGAUUAACUUGAUAAUUACUCUUACGUCCCUCACCCUAUGCUCCUGUGUUUUGUAGUCUUUCGUAACAGCCCUCAAUGUCUUGGUAUAUACUAUGUGAAGGAGACGAAAUUCUAGAUAUAGGACCGCGCUAUGAAAAAAGAGAAAUAAGGGUGUUUUCUGCAAAAGAGAACAUCCCUAUCCUAUCCUCUCCAUUCCCCUGAAACCCUAUCCAUCACUGUUCUCCUGCCCUUUCUCUUCCUUUCCCCUGUCCUUGCGCCGCCGCCGCCUUGCCUUACCUCCCCGGCUUCUCCUCGCCGACGACGGCUUUCCCCUCACGCUCUCCCGUACCCUCCUCCUCUCUUGGCGCUCCCUCCAUCACCCCCCCUCCCAGUAGAGCAAGGGGAUUUAGGGACUGGAUGGCGUAGCGUUGGAUUUGGGUGCGGUGAUGGAGUUUCGCCGGCGACGGCCUCCCCCUCGCGCUCUUCCAUGUCCUGCCCAUCUCCUGCCGCACCCUCAAGCACUCUCCGCCUGUUUCUCCUCGCCACCCGUUGCAGCAGUUACCCUGUUUUGUGUUGGGCUCCACGGAGCUGCGACGACGGUAGCCUCGGCCAGGAAGCGACCCAUGGACCAAUGGUGGGAGCAUUUGGCAAGGACACACUCACUCAAGAACCAGACAUUGGCCUGUGAUGGGAAACAAGCUCGAGGAUGCUAGAUGGCUAUAGACUUGAUCCUUCCACUCUCACAGCCGUCAACAACAUCGGGGCGAUUCGUUUUGCUGCCUGGUGGGCUAUUGUUUACUGCUGUCUGCUUGCUGCUGAAUGAAGCAGCUAGCAAAUAUUGUUCCAAACUAAAAGUUGUAGUGGUUUGGUGUGAUGAGGAAGCCAGAAAAUUAAUGGUUAGGAUUCAGUGGCCUUUCAUUUUAUCUUUAUAUAGGACUUCAUUCCCCUAAAUCUUGCCUUUAUAUAUUGAUUUUAAUUAUGCAGAUUUUCUGUACAAUUGGCACUGGACAUUCUUUCUGUAUCCAGAUUCAUUGAAGCAUGUAAUAUUUCAUCUUUGUACCAUGCUUCUAUUUAAGAGGUGUGCAGACUCUCACUGUUUCGUUUGAAUAUGCCAACCAUCAUGUUUAUUUUGCAAUUACCUACGACACUAGAUGAAGCACUUAUAUGUAAAUAUUACUGCAGAGUGUUUAUCAUUUUGCUUAGGUUGCUUCUUAAAAUCUAGCGCAGGUGAUUGGAAGAAGGUUUAGCUGAUCUUGGAUAUGUUAGGAUUAUUAGAAGCUAAAUGUUUCCCUGAUUUUACUUAAAGUAGCUGUUUGCCGCUUGAUUUUAGCGAUUAAAGUUUCUGGUCUGAAAGAAGUUAGGGUGUGUUUGGUUGGUGGGAUAUACCCGGAUAAGACAUGGCCGCCGCUUUUUGGAGGGUGUUUGGAUGCUGGGCGAGAGUGGGAUAGGGCAGCCCAGAGGGGAAUAUUCCCUCCACAUGCUGGAUAGAGGGAUCCGGCUGAUUUGGCCGGAUGCAACCGCCCGAGGCUCGGGCGAGCCGGGCAAGCGAGUUGCGUGACUCGCGUCACCCCUCACCACCACGACGCGAGCGAGGCGACGAGCGCGGUGGCCGGCAAGAGGGACGACGAGCUCGGCGGCCGGCGUGGGCGACGAGAGGGGAGAUGAGCUCGGCGGCCGGCGAGAGAGGCGACGAGCGCGGCGGCCGGCGAGAGAGGCGACGAGCUCGGCGGCCGGCGCGGGCGACGAGCGUGGCGGCCGGCGAGAGAGGCGACGAGCUCGGCGGCUGGCGUGGGUGACGAGAGAGGAAGGCGGCGGCGGGAGGAGGCGAGCCUCGGUGGUGGGAGGAGGCGGCCGGCGGCGGGAGGAAGCCGGCGGGAGGAGGCUGCCAGCGGCGUCGGCGAGCCCAGAUCUGGCGCUGCUUUUUUUUUCUUUUUCUUUUUUCUAUGUGUAUUUAUAAUGGAAUGUGUAUUUAUAAUGGAGUGUGUAUUUAUAAUGGAAUGUGUAUUAUGUAUUAAUUUGAUGGGGUAUAUUCACCAUCUCAAGUGAGAGGUGACCACACCUACAAAUCCACCAUACUUCCUCCAACCAAACAAAAAAUUGGAUCACCAAAUCCACCUUUGUCUCUACAACCAAACAAAAAAUUAGAUCGCCAUAUUCACACAACCAAACAAAAAUUGGACCGCCAUAUCCAGCAAAAUAUGGACCACCGUAUCCCAUCCAAUCUUGACCAGGAACCAAACACACCCUUAGUGUUCUAUACAAGCAUGUUGACUGUUUGAUAAAAAAAUCACAAUACUGACUGUGGUUUUUGAAAGAAGUUAGUGUUCUAGACAAGUACAUCAGGGCUUCUGUCCUAGAUCCCCAUCCAUUUGUGCCUAUGAAUCAUGUUGCUUCUCAGAACAGAUGGUAAAUUCAAUAUGCAGAUUUAUUUACUACAGCAAAAAAAUAACACUCAAUAUGCAGAUUAGUUUUCUAUUAAGCAAGCAUGUAUAACUGGAAAUGUGCUUAGGACAGAGGUGAUAUAUUGGUAGGAAAAUUCCUAUCCAGAUUAGUUUCCUAUUAAGCAAGCAUGUAUAACUGGGUAUGUGCUUAGGACAGGGGUGAUAUAUUGGUAGGAAAAUUCCUAUCCAGAAUCUGGUAUAGCGCCACUGUAAACAGAAACUCCGUGUGUGUUUAUUUCUACUUAGUGAUCCUGGAUCCUGCUAAUAUUUAGACCUUGAGAUCCUGCUAAUAUUUGGACCUUGAAUUAUAUCAUUCCUCCACAUACACAGCCUGUUGUAACUGCAGCUCUUAUCUGUUCUCUCUGUUCUUACCUUGAAUUAUGCAGAGUUUUGCAUGGUCAAAUUAGAUAGCCAUUAAAAAAACUAUGGUAUGUUGCUUCUCAGAGCACAUGGUAGAUUCGAUAUGGAGAUUCAUUUUCCAGAAAAAAGAGAGGCAAUAGCAGAUUAGUUUUCUGUAACAAAAAAUAGCACAUCAUUUUCUGCUGGCGAUAGGAAUUUGCCCAGUAAUUCUGUGGCAUGCUGCCACCAAAGUUUAGCAUGUGUCUUUCGUGUUGCUACAUACUAGAACAUAUUACCUAUGUGAUUAAUAAGAUGAAUAUAUCACGUUUGGUUUGUCGGUUUAAUUAGGUGGUGUUUAUAGUUCAUCCUGUGAUGCCUUGGAUCCUUUGUGUGGUUCACCGUAGGCAUGUGGUUGGGUGCGUGUGUGCCAUCGGUCCUAACGCUCUAUGGCCCACCUGGAAAUCACCUUGGUCCAUGCUGCGUCUGGCCUAUGUAGCUCUCUCCCUGCCUGACAGCCUUGACUUUUGGUGCACCCCCACGUUUACUCAGCAUAGCCUCAUGUUUCUCUAUGCGAUGUCACUAUGUGCGACAGUGCGAGGCAGGCACGUUUCUUCAUGAUUCUCCUACCAACGUUUGGUCCACCGUAAUCCCUGGUCACACGAGUGCUCCUCUCUGCCUGUGUUUUGUGCGCUAGGAGCACGUUCAUCCAGUGCAACGAACGGAUUGGACAAAUUACCUACUGGUUAUUACAUUGGAUAAAUGAUGGACAUGCACCUAUUCAUUGCAGAGCCAAUGACAGGUGGGGUCGGUUUUGUGGGUUGUCCCAUAUACCAUGUGUUAUGCGUAUCCAAGAGGCCGUGAGUCUAUCGUGCCAUGUUUUUCUAAGCGCCGCGUGCUACAGUGUCUGACGUGCCGCGUCAGGCCACAUCAAAUCGUCCUGCGCACGAGCCGUACCGGCAUGCGCGCAGGCAUCGAUGCAUCUGGCAUGGCCCUAGCCUUUCCUAUCGUUCCUGUUACCCGGUUAGUUAAUAGAGAUUGAGGCCAUUCAAACAGCUGCGUUGCUUCGGAUGUCUUCUUGGCUCUUCUCUCAUCUUUCCCCUUUUCGCUCUUACAUCAAUGGCCAACACUAGGGGGGAUCGUGGAUGCUGCGCCGGUGCUGCUGCUUAGAAUUUGCCUCACGCCUCUAGGGUGCUCCCCCAGCCACGCUUCCACGCCGUCUUCCUCUCGAAUUUCGCAGGCGUGGCCCUCACCAAUCUACCCCAUAAUUUCCUGCCUAUUUAUCGAUGUUAGUUCCAAUUGUUAUAUCUGUGAUGUAUAAUGUACUCUAGAUUAUGCAUUGUUCUCCACAAACAAUGUUAACAUUCAAUCUAUGUAUUUUAUGUCUACUUAAUCCAUCACUGGUUUUCCUCA